UGAAAGGUUUAAAAAAGUGGGUCGAAAUUGAUUAACAAACAUCAAAUGACUUUUGUAAAGGGGAGGCAAAUCAUGGAUGCAACACUCAUUGCUAGUGAAUGCAUUGAUUCAAGAAUGAAAGGAGGAGCUCCAGGUCUAAUGUGCAAAUUGGAUAUUCAGAAAGCCUAUGACCAUGUGAAUUGGUCUUUCCUUCUGAAUACUCUUAGACAAAUGGGAUUUGG
rnacentral:misc_RNA from 1 species